rnacentral:rRNA from 1 species
UACGAAGGGUGCUAGCGUUGUUCGGAAUUACUGGGCGUAAAAGCGCGCGAGGCGGCUUAACAAGUCAGGGGUGAAAUCCUGGAGCUCAACUCCAGAAUUGCCUUUGAAACUGUUAGCUUGAGUGUCGGAGGGGAUAGCGGAAUUGCUAAUGUAGAGGUGAAAUUCGUAGAUAUUAGCAGGAACACCGGUGGCGAAGGCGGCUAUCUGGACGACAACUGACGCUGAGGCGCGAAAGCGUGGGGAUCAAACAG